GAGCAAAGUGCUCGGCGGAGGAAGAGGAAGGGCGAGGGAGAGAAAUGGUCGAGUACAGAAGCCUGCGUGUGGGUAAGAAAAUACCCUAACCACUCGCCCACCGGACGCAGGGCGGCUGGGACUGCGAAUCCAGCAGCAGCCACAGCGUAGCAGCGGGCGGCAGCCGCCGAGGCAGCAAUGUCAGGAGGGCACAGCUGGAGGAGGCGGCCGCCAAAGCCACUACCCCACCCCCAGGUGUCUGUGUGCUUGUGAAGCGCUCCCUUGUUAGUUCCUUCUGUGAGACUCGGGGGAGACUGAAGAGGGAAAUCACCUGCGGGGAAUGAACAGGAAAGCAAUAAGAAGAUUUGGAAAAGAGGCACUGGCUACUGGAGGAAGGGAGAAAUCACCGAGAGAGCGAAAGAUGUAACAGAUGCAGUGACUCAUGCCUAUAAUCCCAGUACUUUGGAAGGUCAAGGCACAAGGAUCCAUUGAGGCCAGGAGUCCAAGACCAGCCUGCACAAUGUAGCAAGACUCCUUCUCUACAAAAAAAUAAAUAAAAAUUAGCCAGGCAUGGUGGUGCACUCCUGUAGUCCCAGCUACUCAAGAGGCUGAUGUAGAGAAUCGCAUUAUCCCAGAGGUCAAGGCUGCAGUGAGCCGUGAUCAUGCCUCUGCACUCCAGCCUGGACGAUAGAGCAAGACUUUAUCUCAAAAAACAAAAAUUUAAAAAGAUAUCAGGUAGCUCAUAGAAUUGUUGAGAGGGCUGUAAAACCAGGCUUGAACUUAAACAGCAACGAUAAACCACCCACAGAACGGACAUGAUGAAGAAGUUGGCAAAUGUUACCAACUGUCCUGGUUUUUUUGGUGACUGUAGUUUCCAAGGAUUCAGAUCCUUCCAUGCCAAAAUCUGAAAAAUGCUGGGCAAAGUAUGACUGACAAUGUGGUAAUCUUACAGCUAGCACUAGAGACAUCAAGCACUAGACAACACAAUUUGCCCUUUGGCCACUUAUACAAUGGGAACUCACGCUUGCAGUAACCUCUAUUGCCACUAGGAGAGAGAAACACAGAAGGAGGAAGGGAGAAGGGAGAGAGAGGAAAAAAACUGUUGCUUGUCUCCUUAGCUGUGAGUCAAAGGUCUAACACAGAUGUCUGGCUGAAAAGCCUAGGUCACAUGCCUGCACCCCAGAGAAAGUAUGUGACAUCUUCUGCUUCCAUUAUGGGAAACAGCCUUUGCUUGUCACGAAGAUUUACAUGGUGAGACAUAUCCUAAAUAUAGGGAAGCUGUUGAAGUGGCCCAAAUAAUGACCAAUUUCUACUAAUUUGUACUAAUAUCCAAAUUACUUUUAAUUAUCUAAUAUUACUUAGAUACAGUGAGGCAACCAUUCGUUGGAUAUAUAAUGGUUUCUUUGAUUUCAAAAAUCUUUUUUUAUGUAAUAUAUGUCUGAAGACCAUCAAAAUAAAUUCUUAAAGUCAGAUUAAUAGGAUGUUACUUAUAAUAUUAUUGUAAUUAUUUGACCACAUAAUAGUUUAUGCCCAUUAUAUACUAUGUAAUUGUAUGAUGGAAAUAAUGCUGUACUUUGUUUGUAAAAGUUUAAUUAUCCUGACCUUUGUUCAUCAUAAAGAAUUGCUCCAUUUCUAUUAUUUAUCGAGGAAAAAAGUUUCUCUCUUUUUGUUUUUAAUAUGUCAUUAGGAGAAGAGUAGUUACACGUAGGCUAGAGUGUUUGCCAAGAAGAAAUUGAUUUUAAUGGGAACCUUUUAUCUAAGACAAACUUUAAGAAGAGCAGUAAUGGACAAUGUGUUCUGUGCAACUCUUCAGCCUUCAGUCUCACAUUCAUUGUGGUCAAGUAUUUUCAGCAAAGAAUAACAAGUCAGAGUUUGUGUAUAUUUUUCAUAGCUGUUCAUUCUCUUACAGAGUAACCUUGAACAAACCUCUUAAGAUUUGUGUUUUAUCUUCAUAUACUGAAAUACAAAAUGGGAAUGCCUAUAUUUAAUCAAAGAUAUAAUUUUUACUGAUAGAUAGUAAAGAACAAAACACUGGAACAAGAAUUCCUGUCCUGCCUUUCACAAUGUGGUUUUGAGGCCUUGGCCAUGUCACUUAAAUUCUCAUAUCUGUUUUCUCAAUCUAUAAAUGAUCAUAAUACCUGCACUAUCUGUCUCAAAUUGCAUAUGUGAAAGCAUCUUAAAGGUACAAAACAAUAAAUACAAAGCAUUAUUAUUAAAUUAUUACACCUUCCAGCAUUUAAUGCUAAAAAUGCCAAAUGCGUCCUUUGGUUAUAUGUAGGAAAUAUGUCUCAGAAAAAUCAAUUUAAAAUUAUAGAAGCUAACAGGUAAGUCAUUUUAAGUGUGUGGUUAUCUUCUGCAUGGCAGAUUUUUAAAUGGUAAUUAUUAAUGAAGUUUUCCUAUACUUACUGUUUCCAAGACUCCAUUCUUUCCAAAGUUUUCUGAGUUAUGCUUAUCAUCCCUUAAGUCUUAGGGAUGCUCUUCUGAGCUUUUGGGGUU
ensembl:lncRNA RABGAP1L-DT RABGAP1L divergent transcript